rnacentral:snoRNA from 1 species
UGUGCCUAGAGGCCUUGCAUGUGUGGCUCCUGUGUCAUGGCAGAGAGGAGAGAGUUUAUGUCUAUGCCCAGUCUUCUGACCUAUGAACAUGUGAAUGAUUAGUAGCCUAACACU